ACGGAAGCAGAAUGUGCGAACUUAACCGCUGUGCCACCGGGCAGGCCCCUCUAGCUAAUUUUUAAAAAGGAACAUGUUGCAGUAUUCAGAGAGGCUGGAGAGAUGGCUCUGAUCUGUAACAUGUGGCUCCUUGGUGGACCCACAUGGGCUGGAACUUGGAACCUGGAAAAGCUGUAGGAGAUAGCUUUACAAAUGAAGGUGGAAUUUGAUUCAACUCUUCCAAGUUGCAAGUGGUGAAUCACCCGAUUUCCUAACUUCCAGUAACUGGAAUGAGACCAUCCGUUGCAUGGUUCUACUUUUGCACGGUGCCUGGCAUGGGACAGCUGCCGAGUCAAGUUGCUGAAUGGCUGCACCGUGAUGCUCAGUGGUGAGGACCACGUGGACCACGGGAGCAUCCUAAUCAUCCUGAAAAGAGCUGGCAACCUCUUUUUGCAUGUGUCGCUUUGCUGUUGAGGUAUGAAGUGCAACAAACAACCACUGUACCGUACCACUGGGAAUUUCUGAUCCAAAAUAAAUUGUAGUAACACACGGCGAUAUUGAUAGCAUGAAUGUGAGCCCAUAGAGCCUUGUUGCUCUGAGCACCCCGAAUGGGACCUGGCAGCAGAAGCAGGCUCAUCAACACUGGUGUAACAAAUGCACGCAGGGCAGAAGGGGGUGAACUCCAGAGACUCCGGCUGCAGAGACAGCCACCCGGCUUGUGCUGUUCCGCCGAGGGUGGAAGCAAUGGUGGCUGGACCUCCUGGGAGUUUACCGACCUGCUGUCACAUAGCAGUUUGCAAAGCUGGCAGUUCAGGCCAACCUUUGGAGGCUGGCUCACCGGAGCCCUCCAUCUCCCUUCAGGCCACCAGCCCCUUUCCUGCCUUCAUUCGCCCUGGGAUACAGUCGCCCUGCUGAGCUGUUACUCUGAUCUUUUCCAGUCCUUGAUACCGUUUUCCCCAACACUAAGACCUGACCCCAGCCCUCCCGGGUAUAAGGCAAGCUUCCGUUCCCUCAGAGCAGGGGUUGGCAAACGAUUUUCUUAAAGGGCCCAAUAGUAACAAUUUGACACUUUGUGGGCCAGAUGGUAUUGGCAAUUA